rnacentral:rRNA from 1 species
CUUACCAUGCAAGUCGAACGGUAAGGCCUUUCGGGGUACACGAGUGGCGAACGGGUGAGUAACACGUGGGUGAUCUGCCCUGCACUUUGGGAUAAGCCUGGGAAACUGGGUCUAAUACCGAAUAUGACCUUGGGAUGCAUGUUCCUUGGUGGAAAGCUUUUGCGGUGUGGGAUGGGCCCGCGGCCUAUCAGCUUGUUGGUGGGGUGAUGGCCUACCAAGGCGACGACGGGUAGCCGGCCUGAGAGGGUGUCCGGCCACACUGGGACUGAGAUACGGCCCAGACUCCUACGGGAGGCAGCAGUGGGGAAUAUUGCACAAUGGGCGCAAGCCUGAUGCAGCGACGCCGCGUGAGGGACGACGGCCUUCGGGUUGUAAACCUCUUUCAGCACAGACGAAGCGUGAGUGACGGUAUGUGCAGAAGAAGCACCGGCCAACUACGUGCCAGCAGCCGCGGUAAUACGUAGGGUGCGAGCGUUGUCCGGAAUUACUGGGCGUAAAGAGCUCGUAGGUGGUUUGUCGCGUUGUUCGUGAAAACUCACAGCUCAACUGUGGGCGUGCGGGCGAUACGGGCAGACUGGAGUACUGCAGGGGAGACUGGAAUUCCUGGUGUAGCGGUGGAAUGCGCAGAUAUCAGGAGGAACACCGGUGGCGAAGGCGGGUCUCUGGGCAGUAACUGACGCUGAGGAGCGAAAGCGUGGGGAGCGAACAGGAUUAGAUACCCUGGUAGUCCACGCCGUAAACGGUGGGUACUAGGUGUGGGUUUCCUUCCUUGGGAUCCGUGCCGUAGCUAACGCAUUAGUACCC